rnacentral:rRNA from 1 species
UACGAGAGGCGCAAACGUUAUUCGGAAUUACUGGGCUUAAAGAGUUCGUAGGCGGCGCAGAAAGUAGGGUGUGAAAGCCCUCGGCUUAACCGAGGAAUUGCGCUCUAAACUACUGUGCUUGAGGAACCUAGAGGUGAGCAGAACUGAUGGUGGAGCGGUGAAAUGCGUUGAUAUCAUCAGGAAUACCGGAGGCGAAGGCGGCUCACUGGGGUUUCUGACGCUGAGGAACGAAAGCCAGGGGAGCGAACGGG